UGUUGGGACCCACUGCUGAGGAGGCUGUGGAACCAAUAUGGCUCCCUACUCCAAGUGAAUUGAAAGUUUCCAUAGCAGCAAUGCCCUUGAUGAAACGUGACUUUCAUAUAGCCAUCACCUCUGCUGCUUAUAUUUUUUUCAGUGACUACCUGGAGCCUUUCUGCAUAUCAAGACAAGAUCACUGACGACAAAGGGCUGGAAAAUAACCAGUCCAUCAGCACUGAAGCCAGUGAUCUUCCCUCCUUACAAGGACUGGAGAUGUCUCCUGCACACACAAUGAGCAGCUGCAGGUCACCCAAAUGAGGAUCACCAAGGCAUGGCAGCUGGAACAGAGACAUGAAAUGGCCCAACUUCAGCCAUGUAAAAGAAGACAACAUCCUAAGGAAGGGGGGAGUCACAACAUGGAAGGAACCUGGGUCCCUGAAUUAACACAUACAGCAGAGCUGCUCUACCAGCCUGGGUUGUACAUUAGGGUCUCUUUGAUACAGCAGCUAAGCAUGUACCUUAGCUAAUACAUCUCUACAUGCAACCAGGGAAAAACAUUUGGAGUGAACACAAGGAAGUCAUUGUAAGGUUAGAACAUGGAAAAGAAGUUCAUGAGUCAAUUGCAGGCUCAGAGCAAGGGUAAUCUGAAGAAAACCACAGUAGGAAAAACAUCAGCACAAAUAAUUUAGACAAAACAAUACUGGCAGGGCACAGUGACUCACGCCUGUAAUCCCAACACUUUGGGACGCCAAGGCAGGCAGAUCAUGAGGUCAAGAGUUUGAGACCAGCCUGACCAAUAUGGUGAAACUCCGUCUCUACUAAAACAACAAAAAUUAGCCAGGCAUGGUGGUGUGCGCCUGUAAUCCCAGCUACUCAGGAGGCUGAGGCAGGAGAAUCAAUUGAACCCAGGAGGUAGAGGUUGCACUGAGCUGAGAUCAUGCCACUGCACUCCAGCCAGGGUGACAGAGCGAGACUGCAUCUCAAAAAAAAAAAAAAAAAAAAAAAAAUACUGCAAGUGGUGGGAUGCAAAACUAUGUGUUCUUUGUGAAGAUCAGCUCCUUCAUGGAAGGACACUGAUGAAGGCAUCUGUUAUGCAGAAUUGAACAGAUUUCUUCAUGAACCAGAUCAACAGAGCACUGUUUCCAUCAGCCACAUGCAGAAUACAGGACUAGCUUUGUUAUAUAGAACCAGACAUUAUGACAGAGUUUGCGACAAUUUUCUAUAGACCAGAAAACAAUAAGCCACAUUCACUGGCUUAUUGUGGUAUGUCACCACAAAUGGGAAAUUUUUAACCAUCAAAAUGCAAAAGAACUCAAGUUCAAUUUCCUUGCACUGCAUUCCAAAUUUUGAAAAUCUCACUGAGUCUAUCUUGAAUUACACACGUGAAAGAAAAUAACUCCACUGAGAAUAUAAUGCAAGUUCCGUAAUACAAUAAGUAAAUUUGAAUGCACAUCAAAUUUCUAUGAAAUUAAUCACACAUUCAUCCAAUAAAUAUUGCUUAAGCAUUGACUUGGUAAAGCUCUACUCUCCCUUUAUGGAUGAAGUAGCCUAGUGGGACAGACCAGCACCCACUCAUAAAGGAGAAGUACAGGGUGCAAUGAGCGUACAGUCAAAAGGCGCCAUUCCAGAAGUAUAGGGUCUAGGAAGGGCUUCUGGAAGAAGUGAAAUCUGAUCCAACCCAGAAAGAGAAAGAGGAGUUAGCAAGGUGAACAGGGAAAGAGUGAACAGCAUGGAAAAAGGUCAGAGGCAAGGUCAAAGAACCAAAGGAAGUUCAGGAUGUUAAGGUAGAAAGAGAGAAACAGUAAGUGGCUGGGGACAAGUGCAAGAAAGGCCUGGUAAGUCACGUGGAAGAGUCUGGACUUCAUCCAGAGGACAGCAGGGAGUCUUGAAGGGUUUCAACAGCGGGCUGACUUGGCUGCAGUAUGUGGAAGACCUGGGAGAAGGGCCAGACAGAUGGCAGGGAAAAUACUUCAGAGGUUAUCACAGUAAUUCAGAGUAGAGAAGAUGGAUGCCUGAAACCCACACAGCAGAGGCAAGACUGGAGAGAAGAGACAGCCAGGAGGGAUAUACCAUAGGAGGUAGAAUCCUGUUGUUUUUUUCAUUGAUUUAAAAUGUAUCUUCAGGGCCAGGCGUGGUGGUUCACGCCUGUAAUUCCAGCACUUUGGGAGGCCGAGGAGGGAAGAUUACAAGGUCAGGAGUUCGAGAACAGCCUGGUUAACAUAGUGAAACCCCGUCUCUACUAAAAAGACAAAAAUUAGCUGGGCAUGGUGUUGCAUGCCUAUAAUCCCAG
rnacentral:lncRNA from 10 species